AUACGGAGGGCGCAAGCGUUACUCGGAAUCACGGGGCGUAAAGGAUGCGUAGGCGGAUAAUCAAGUCAAAAGUGAAAUCCUACAGCUUAACUGUAGAACUGCUUUCGAAACUGGUUAUCUAGAAUAUGGAAGAGGCAGAUGGAAUUAGUGGUGUAGGGGUAAAAUCCGUAGAGAUCACUAGGAAUACCGAUUGCGAAGGCGAUCUGCUGGGACAUUAUUGACGCUGAGGCAUGAAAGCGUGGGGAGCAAACAGGAUUAGAGACCCGAGUAGUCC
rnacentral:rRNA from 1 species